rnacentral:rRNA from 1 species
AGCAGCCGCGGUAAUUCCAGCUCCAAUAGCGUAUAUUAAAGUUGUUGCAGUAAAAAAGCUCGUAGUUGAAUUUCGGGAUCAAUACGUUGGUCGUGCUUCGGUACGUACUGGCGUAAUUGAUUUCUCCCUUCUGACGAACCAUGAUGUCAUUAACUUGGUGUCAUGGGAAAUCAGGACUGUUACUUUGAAAAAAUUAGAGUGUUUAAAGCAGGCUCACGCUUGAAUACAUUAGCAUGGAAUAAUGAAAUAGGACGUUCGAUCCUAUUUUGUUGGUUUUUAGGAUCGACGUAAUGAUUAAUAGGGAUAGUUGGGGGCAUUAGUAUUCAAUUGUCAGAGGUGAAAUUCUUGGAUUUAUUGAAGACUAACUACUGCGAAAGCAUUUGCCAAGGAUGUUUUCAUUAAUCAAGAACGAAAGUUAGGGGAUCGAAGACGAUCAGAUACCGUCGUAGUCUUAACCAUAAACUAUGCCGACUAGGGAUCGGAUGAUGUUAAUUUUUAAUGACUCAUUCGGCGCCUUACG